GCCGGGAUAGCUCAGUUGGUAGAGCAGGGGACUG
rnacentral:tRNA from 8 species